CCUACGGGAGGCAGCAGUGGGGAAUAUUGCACAAUGGGGGAAACCCUGAUGCAGCGACGCCGCGUGAGUGAAGAAGUAUUUCGGUAUGUAAAGCUCUAUCAGCAGGAACGAGACAAGACGGUACCUGACUAAGAAGCCCCGGCUAACUACGUGCCAGCAGCCGCGGUAAUACGUAGGGGGCAAGCGUUAUCCGGAAUCACUGGGUGUAAAGGGAGCGUAGACGGCUGAGCAAGCCUGAAGUGAAAGGCGGGGGCCCAACCCCCGGACUGCUUUGGGAACUGUACGGCUGGAGUGCAGGAGAGGUAAGUGGAAUUCCUAGUGUAGCGGUGAAAUGCGUAGAUAUUAGGAGGAACACCAGUGGCGAAGGCGGCUUACUGGACUGUAACUGACGCUGAGGCACGAAAGCGUGGGUAUCGAACAGGAUUAGAUACCCCUGUAGUC
rnacentral:rRNA from 1 species